AGGGGUGUAGAUCAGAUGGUAGAGCCCUCGCUUGGCAUGUGAGAGGCACCGGGAUCGAUACCCCGCGCCUCCA